UACGUAGGGGGCCAGCGUUGUCCGGACUUACUGGGCGUAAAGCGCGCGCAGGCGGUGGGGUAUGUGCCGCGUGAAAGCGCCGGGCUUAGCUCGGCGAGGUCGUGGUAGACAGCCCUACUUGAGGCUUGGAGAGGUCGAUGGAAUUCCGGGUGGAGCGGUGAAAUGCGUAGAUAUCCGGAGGAACACCAGGGGCGAAGGCGGGUCUCUGGGCCGAUACUGACGCUGAGGAGCGAAAGCGUGGGGAGCGAACAGG
rnacentral:rRNA from 1 species